GGGUCAGUAGGUUGGUCGUGCCACCGGUACGUACUGGUCUCACUGAUUCCUCCUUCCUGAAGAACCGUAAUGCCAUUAAUUUGGUGUUGCGGGGAAACAGGACUGUUACUUUGAAAAAAUGAGAGUGUUUAACGCAAGCUAACGCUUGAAUACAUUAGCAUGGAAUAAUGAAAUAGGACGAUCGAUCCUAUUUUGUUGGUUUCUAGGAUUGACGUA
rnacentral:rRNA from 1 species